rnacentral:misc_RNA from 1 species
CCUUGAGCCUUUAAUAACUAUGGAAAUGACAAAGCGAACUCAUCUCCUCUUCCAAAGUGAAGUUAAUACAAGAGCAUCCAAAUUAAAUUAGGAUUCAGUGUUUUUCGUUUUUCAAUUUUCCUUCUUUAUGGAAGAUUUCUAUUUAGUUUUCCUUCUUCAUUUAGGAUUCUUAUUUAUUCUACUUCAUUAAUUAAGAAUACUUUGCCAUCUAGAAUUAGGAUUUGUCCUAACUAGUAUAAAUAGGACAGCAUUAGUUAAUUUCUGUAUUCUAUCAUACCUUUCAAUUCAGAAUUUUAAUUCAUAUGUUUUCUUUAAAACUAAUUCCUGUCUAUCGUUCCAACCACAAUCACCCUACUCUAACCCUAAUUAUUGACAUCUAAUUGCCCUAACUCUCCCACUACAUCAAGUGGUAUCAGAGCGAAAAAGGUCCUAAAUUACUACAGGAUUUUUUUCUUCUGGUUCUAAUUAUGGUUGGUAGAGACAAAGGUGGAGGUAGAGGCAAUCAGCCCCAAUAAACAGAGUUGGCUGAGAUGCAGAGGAUGAUUGAGGACUUGACUCAGGCUGUACAAGCCUUGCAGCGUCAAGAACCUAUGGAAUCCCGAAUGGAGAUUUCGGAAGGCAACCACAAACAACUCGAGAUUGAAGAAGAUCUUAGGAUUGAAGAGGAAAUUGAGAACGUGAACCCUUUUCAUAAAGUUGGACCUGAAAAUCAAGCGAUAUGAAGUGCAUUAGAGCAUCGGUUACUGCAUGCUCUUAAAUUGAAUGGUGGAGUGAAGGAUUGAAUCAGCUGAUUUUCAUGGACAGUUACAUGCGAAGGAUUAUUUGGACUAGGAAGCUAGUUUAGAGAAUUACUUUGAAUGGAAACCCAUAGCUAAAAAUCAAAAGGUGCUAUUUGUAAAGCUUAAAUUCAAGGGAACUGCACUUCACUAGUGGAAGAUAGUUGAAAAGCAACGUGCACGACAAGGUAACCCUAAAAUCGACAAUUGGGAGCAGAUGAAAACUAAUUUGCAGAAGUAAUUUUUGCCUACCGAUUAUAUGAUGGAAUUGUAUGAGAAGUUCUGUUGUUUGAAGCAAAACAAUAUGUCCGUUCAAGAGUACACUGCAAAAUUAAAUAACCUAUCAAUUUGAGUUGGUUUGUCUGAAAAGUAAUGAACCACUUGCUUUUGCUACCUUGUUGGUUUGAUUCACUCUAUUAAAGAUGAGAUGGGAGUAGUUCAUUUACACAAUAUUGAGGAUGCUCAUGCUUUAGUAACUGAAAAGUGAGUUUUAUGUUAUGGUGCUAGAAAACCCAUAUACAAAACAAAUUGGCAAAACAAUUUGGGGGCUGGACAUGGGUAUCAAACAAGCCAAUGGAACUGGAAGGAGGCUGCUAUACGUAAUAAUAAUAAAACCAACAAAGGUGCAACCAAUGUUGAGAGGAGCGAUAAAGGGAAAAAUAUAGUACCUUAUGGUGGACAAACUAAUUCUGGUUCAUCUACAGUUAAAGAAGGCAUCAAUACUCAGGUCCAAUGUUUUACUUGUGGAGAGAAGGGACAUACUUCAUUCGCUUGUCCACAAAGGAUAACCGAGUUUGAGGAACAAUUAGAUCUAUUUUUUUAUGAAUAUGAUGAGGAGAUACAAGGAAACUAAUGUUCAUCCAGCCCAAGGUGAAACCUUAAUGGUACGAAGGGUGAUGACGAUGACAAUCAAAGAUGAUGAGGAAGAUUGGAGGAGGCAUAGUAUUUUCCAUACACGUGUUAUUUGUGGAGGCAAGGUGUGGAGGCAAGGUUUGUGAUCUUGUCAUUGCUAGAGGAAGCAUGGAAAAUAUCAUAUCUACGGAAGUUGUGGAAAAAUUGAAGCUUCCUACAACAAAACAUCCUCACCAUACAAGGUUGACUGGUUAAAGAAGGGGCCUGAGAUAGCAGCAACUUCUCAACGUUUGGUGAAAUUCACUAUGGGAGAUAACUUGGAAGAUGAAGCUUUAUGUGAUGCUAUACCAAUGGAUGUUGGGCACAUUCUUGUUGGGAGACCUUGGUUGUUUAAUCAUGAUAUGAUUUAUAAGACAAAUCCUAAUACAGAUGUGGUGGUGCUACUAUAUUUAGUUGUAAUAGAGCCACUAGAUUCUGAACAAAUGUGGCAGUGCCUCUAGAUUCAAAACAAACAUGGCAAAGCCACUAGAUUUAUAUAACAGAAAUGGCAGAGCCUAUGUUCAAAUAAUUCCCUCAACUAUAAGUCAUGCAUUUGAAAUCUUAAGCUUAUCUUGAUCCGUAUGGCUUACCUCUUAAGUCCCAUUCCAACAAAACCAGAUUUGAUGACAUAAGACAUUUUCCCUUUAGAAUCUGGAUUUAGGAAUAAUGUACACAUAAUCACUAUACGAUGGUCUCACUUAUACAGAUAUAAUUUAGUCAUAUUGUCAAAUGAUAAGUUCAAACUAAUAUCAGUGUUAUCAAACACAAAUGUGGACAAGCCACAUAUCAAUUCAUUCAUAUUUCUAAAUCGAACUUUUAGAAAACAAACAACAAUUAGACCAGGAUUCAGAAUUCAGUCCUUUCAAUCUCUAAGGUUCUCUUAUGCAUGAUGCUCAUACAUAAAUAUUCUACAGGGUCUUCAGGUAAAAUAAUUGAUGCAACUAAUUUACAAUACUUAUGAACAGAUAUUCCUAGACUAGGACUUUUGAAGUUUUACUACUGUUAGGUAACUCCUUAAGUGCUUAUAUUGUUUUAAGUUCAUCAUUAACAUAGAAUUGUCCAACCUUCCAUAAGUACAAUGACGAGGACAUCAUGAUGGACCUUGAAGCACCACAAUUCAAAAGAGCCAUGAUAAGGCCAAGAGCCAAAGCUUUGCAAGCCCUAACACAUUCAGCCAACACUAUGGGGAGUCAAUUGGAGUGCUUUACAAUAUUGCAACUAUUUAUUCAAGGUGAUCCUAGCUUGAUCGAAUUAGGAGGAAGCUAUUUAGAGGCUUGCUGACUUGGCAUGCCACGUGGCGUGCCAUGUGGAUGGUGACAUGGCAGCUUAAAUUAGGAGGCAACACAUGUGGAUGAUGUAUUGACGUGCUCACCUACAAACUUUGGUUCAAGUCAUUAUCCAUUGUACAAGUGAUGAGUGGAAAAUGUCAUUAUCCAACCUUUUUACAUUUUUAGUAAAAGCUAAAAUUUCAAAUCUGGUUACAAGACAAUGGCAGACUUUAGGGGAAUAAAUCUGAUUUUGGAAGCCUUCCUUUUGUUGUUAAGUCAUUCAAACAUUUAAGGA